rnacentral:rRNA from 1 species
AAACAUAGUCGGUAGCUAUUAAAUUAUCGGUGAUACCUGCCCAGUGAUAUUUUAACGGCCGCAGUACUUUGACUGUGCAAAGGUAGCAUAAUCAUUUGGCUUUUAAUUGAAGUCUAGCAUGAAAGGAUAAACGUAUACAAACUGUCUCAAUAAUAAAUUUAUUAAAAUUAUUUAUAAGGUGAAAAUACCUUAAAUAUGAAAAAAAGACGAGAAGACCCUUAGAAUUUUUAGAAGACCCAUGUUAACACUUGGUAUGAUUUUUGUUGGGGCAACAUUUUUUCAGGUUAAUAAAAACUAACCAUAAAUAUAUAACGAGUAAGUUUAAUAAAGUAUAAAUUACCUAAGGGAUAACAGCAUAAUUUUAAGUAAAGAUUGUGACCUCGAUGUUGGAUUAGGAACUAUUAAGGCUAGUCGUUUUAAUAUAAUAGGUUCUGUUCGAAUUUUGUUUCCUA